UGCUGGGUUGCUCACGGUCCACGCGAGUGAGGCGAUCUAGACGUUGUUCCCGGCGGAUCGCAGCGCCUCCUGAGCGCGGGAUCUCUCCUUGCACCAGCGC
rnacentral:tRNA from 1 species